UGAGAGAUACAUUGAUCGUUGCCUCUCACAUUCCCCUAAUUGGGGACCUGGCCUGCAACUCCACUGAGCCCCACCAACCAGGACUUAACACACGUCCUAACAAGCCAGGAUGGAGAACUCUUUCCUUGUGGGCUCUAGAGUCGGGGAACUACAAUACCCAGAAGAACCAGCGCCGAGCGAACCAAUGAAAGAUCAGCGUGUAUGCAUAUCCGUGAUUUCUGCGUUUGGAGUGGGACUGCUAGGAGCGGGACUGACUUCUCAACGUGCUGAGGCGCUGGGUCGAGGUAAGUGCGCGUCCCCUGGGCACUGCCCCCGCAGCCCACGGAGCCCUGCAACCAGAGUUCGGGCGUCUGUCACGCGCUGCAGCCCCCGCCCUGGCGUCCGGGACACGAGGGGGCCGAGUGGAUACAGGUGUGUUGUGGCUACUGAGAGGACAGCAAGUACAGUGCACAGUGGACCAGGGUUAUUUGUAACUGGAAUGUACAUGCCCUUCUGGGUGCCUAAUUAAUGAAAUGAAGGUCUGAGGCAGGCAGGGAGAACUGAGGAGUCUCAUUGGGCUUUCCCGGGCUGUGGGACCCGUCAGAGGAUGGCGCUGUGCUGGAUAGUAUUUGAGUCUCUCGAGCACUCUGUCUGGGUGCCAUGGGCCACACACCGGCUUAGUGGAGAGAGAUGCCUGUCAUGCAGAGCAGGGCGGUCGCAGAACUGUGGGAACCAAAGAUGUUAGAAAGUAGCAUGUACAAGUGGUGUGCACACGGUAGGUCAUGUGAGCUGAUGGCCCCAAGGCCCUGGUGGGACCAGGUGAAGGAGCCCACCUUUGCUGAGUCUAGCAGGUACAGUCUGGGAGACCCCUGCAGGGAAUUGCUCUGCAGGGGGCAUGGGGUCCUGCAGGUAUGGCCCACAGCUUGGGUGAGGUCCGUGUGUCCCCACUGUCUGUUGCUGAGGGCUGAACACAGUCAUUAGGGGGCUGUAAGAGGUGAGCAGACAUCUCUGUCACCAGGGCCUGGUGUCUGAUUAGGAGAGCCCUGGAGGAGGAUGAGCAGGGGGGAAGGAUCUAUGAGGUGGACUAUGAGGUUCUCAGAAAGACAGUUUGUGGUUCCCUCUGUCCGCAUCUUGACAGGCCAGUGUGACCUUUGAGGACAUUUCUGUACUAUUCUCCUGGGAGGAAUGGAGUCUCCUUGACGAGGCUCAGAGACACCUAUACCACGAUGUGAUGAUGCUAGAGAACCUGGCACUUAACAUCCUCUCUGGGUAGGACUCUGAGUCUGUAAAAUGGUGGCUGCUGUGGACCAGAGGAUGUAGAAGCCCCCUUUGAACAGAAUGUUUCUGUUGGAGUGUCACAGGCCAACACCUCCAGGGCAUCUCUGUCUUCCCUGAAGGCUCACUUCUGUCAGACUUGUGGUCCAGUCUUGAGAGACCUAUUCCAGUUGGCUGAGCACUGAGGAACACCACACAG